AACGCUAGCUACAGGCUUAACACAUGCAAGUCGAGGGGCAGCAUGAACUUAGCUUGCUAAGUUUGAUGGCGACCGGCGCACGGGUGAGUAACACGUAUCCAACCUUCCGUUUACUCAGGGAUAGCCUUUCGAAAGAAAGAUUAAUACCUGAUAGUAUGGUGAGAUUGCAUGAUGGCACCAUUAAAGAUUUAUUGGUAAACGAUGGGGAUGCGUUCCAUUAGGUAGUAGGCGGGGUAACGGCCCACCUAGCCGACGAUGGAUAGGGGUUCUGAGAGGAAGGUCCCCCACAUUGGAACUGAGACACGGUCCAAACUCCUACGGGAGGCAGCAGUGAGGAAUAUUGGUCAAUGGACGAGAGUCUGAACCAGCCAAGUAGCGUGCAGGAUGACGGCCCUAUGGGUUGUAAACUGCUUUUAUAAGGGAAUAAAGUGAGUCUCGUGAGACUUUUUGCAUGUACCUUAUGAAUAAGGACCGGCUAAUUCCGUGCCAGCAGCCGCGGUAAUACGGAAGGUCCGGGCGUUAUCCGGAUUUAUUGGGUUUAAAGGGAGCGUAGGCCGGAGAUUAAGCGUGUUGUGAAAUGUAGAUGCUCAACAUCUGCACUGCAGCGCGAACUGGUUUCCUUGAGUACGCACAAAGUGGGCGGAAUUCGUGGUGUAGCGGUGAAAUGCUUAGAUAUCACGAAGAACUCCGAUUG
rnacentral:rRNA from 1 species